UACGUAGGGGGCAAGCGUUGUCCGGAAUCAUUGGGCGUAAAGCGCGUGUAGGCGGUUCGAUAAGUCUGCUGUGAAAGUCCAGGGCUCAACCCUGGGAUGCCGGUGGAUACUGUCGGACUAGAGUACGGAAGAGGCGAGUGGAAUUCCCGGUGUAGCGGUGAAAUGCGCAGAGAUCGGGAGGAACACCCGUAGCGAAGGCGGCACUCUGGGCCGGUACUGACGCUGAGGAGCGAAAGCGUGGGUAGCAAACAGG
rnacentral:rRNA from 1 species